AACGAACGCUGGCGGCAUGCCUAACACAUGCAAGUCGAACGAGACCUUCGGGUCUAGUGGUGCAAGGGUGCGUAACGCGUGGGAACCUGCCCUUAGGUUCGGAAUAACUCCCCGAAAGGGGUGCUAAUACCGGAUAAUGUCUUCGGACCAAAGAUUUAUCGCCUUUGGAUGGGCCCGCGUUGGAUUAGCUAGUUGGUAGGGUAAAAGCCUACCAAGGCGACGAUCCAUAGCUGGUCUGAGAGGAUGAUCAGCCACACUGGGACUGAGACACGGCCCAGACUCCUACGGGAGGCAGCAGUGGGGAAUAUUGGACAAUGGGCGAAAGCCUGAUCCAGCAAUGCCGCGUGAGUGAUGAAGGCCUUAGGGUUGUAAAGCUCUUUUACCCGGGAUGAUAAUGACAGUACCGGGAGAAUAAGCUCCGGCUAACUCCGUG
rnacentral:rRNA from 1 species